rnacentral:lncRNA from 1 species
UUGAUCUGUCAUAUAACCCUUUGAACAGCAGGUGUCACUGGUGAGAAUAAAUUAAUGAGGCUUCGGGCGUUUGUAGAGAAAACAUCGCCGCCCAGUGCCGUUCAGGGCAGGUGCCUGGACAGAUCUACCAGAGAAAGGUAUGUUCCAUAUAAAAAUCCAGAAAUUCAACCACUUAUUAACCUUGAAUGAGGAUGUAACAUGACUAAGACUGGCAACUUGUCACUGACAAUGACCAUCAUCCAUCAUUAAAUGUGAAUAAUCAAGCCAUUCUACAAACACACGCAGAGCUGUAUCUUGAUUUCAAUGUACACCAGAGAGCAAAGACAGCAGUUUACAAACUCGUUCUGAUUCAGAAUGAGAGCAGCAGUUUAGGGAAUCUGUUAUGGAACUGUAUCUGAAUCCUGUGUGGGUGACUGGUCCUGACAGUGGUGUGUGAAACGCCGGGCUCUUCCUCCGUCAGUGUGUUCAUGAGCUCAUCAGCUGAUCAUUCACAGAAGAGGAAGGCUGGACACACACUCAGUGUGUUCUGUAUAUGACCAUCACCAUGGACACCAGGGCUGCCAAGGCCGGAGCUGCAGCAGCCUGUUCAUAGAAUAAAAAGCACAGAGGCAGUGAAUGACGGAGAGGC